GGCCUAUUGAAUAUAAUUUUAGGUCGAUCUGCCCAAUGAUUUUAAAUUUAAUGGCUGCGGUAUUUUGACUGUACAAAGGUAGCAUAAUCAAUUGUUUUUUAAUUGGAAACUGGAAUGAAAGAAUUAAUGAGAUAUAUACUGUCUCAUAUAUAAUAAAUGAAUUUAAAUUUUUAGUUAAAAUGCUUAAAUUAUUUUAUGGGACGAUAAGACCCUAUAGAAUUUUAUAUUAAUAUAAAUAGUUAUGUUUAUAAAAUUUUUGUAUUAAUAUUUAGUUGGGAGGAUUAGUAAAUUUAAAAAACUUUACUUUAAAUUUAAACUUUGAUUUAAGAAUUUUUUUGAUCUUGUAUUAUAAAAAUAAGAGUAAAUUACCUUAGGGAUAACAGCGUAAUAUCUUUUUAAAGGUCAUAUUAAUAAAGAUGAUUGCGACCUCGAUGUUGAAUUAAGAUAAAUUUUGGAUGGAGAAGUCUAAGAAUUAAGUCUGUUCGACUUUUAAAAUCUUACAUGAUUUGAGUUCAAAUCGACGUGAGU
rnacentral:rRNA from 1 species